UAGAAGUCGUUUAUGUUUAAUUAAAGGAGUUGAUGAAUUUAAAGUUGUUAAUUUUCUUGAAAUGAGUCUUUGUUUUGGGAUUAUAUUUGGGAAUUUUGUAUUUUGAAGUAUGUUUGGAUGGAGGUAUGAGUGGACUGAUAAAUGAAAUUUGAAAUAUGAUAAUGUUGAUUGUGGUGUUAAUUUGUGAUAUGUUUAAUCUAUUGGUAAAUGGGAGAAAUGAGAAUUAA
rnacentral:lncRNA from 1 species